ACGGGUGAGUAACACGUGGGAAUCUACCUUUUGGUGGGGAAUAACUGAGGGAAACUUCAGCUAAUACCGCAUAGCCUUGGAAACAAGUAAAGAUUUAUCGCCAAGAGAUGAGCCCGCGGCAGAUUAGGUAGUUGGUGGGGUAAAGGCCUACCAAGCCUGUGAUCUGUAGCUGGUCUGAGAGGAUGAUCAGCCACACUGGGACUGAGACACGGCCCAGACUCCUACGGGAGGCAGCAGUGAGGAAUAUUGGACAAUGGGGGAAACCCUGAUCCAGCAAUGCCGCGUGAAUGAAGAAGGCCUUCGGGUUGUAAAGUUCUUUCGCUCGCGAAGAUAGUGACGGUAGCGAGAUAAGAAGGUCCGGCUAACUCUGUGCCAGCAGCCGCGGUGAGACAGAGGGACCUAGCGUUGUUCGGAAUGACUGGGCGUAAAGGGUGCGUAGGUGGUCGUCUAAGUAGAGUGUAAAAGCCCUGGGCUCAACCCAGGAACCGCAUUCUAUACUGGAUGGCUAGAGUAUGGGAGAGGAAAAUGGAAUUCCUAGUGUAGAGGUGGAAUUCGUAGA
rnacentral:rRNA from 1 species